rnacentral:sRNA from 1 species
CUCUUUUCGUUUUGCCACCCUUUUCCAGCUCCACGAUGGUUCUGCAGGUUUCUGCGUCCCCCCAGACAGUGGCUCUGAUGGCGUUACUGAUGGUACUGCUCACAUCUGUGGUCCAGGGCAGGGCCACUCCAGAGAAUUACGUGUACCAGAGACUGUUUGAAUGCUAUGCGUUUAACGGGACACAGCGCCUCCUGGACAGACUCAUCUACAACCAGGAGGAGUACAUCCGCUUCGACAGCGACCUUGGGGAGUACAGGACGGUGACGGAGCUGGGACGGCGUACUGCUGAGUACUGGAACAGCCAGAAGGACAUCCUGGAGCUGGAGCGGGCCGAGGUGGACAGGGUGUGCAGACACAACUAUGAGCUGGAGGAGCCACUCAUCCGGAAGCGCCAAGGUGAGUGAGGGCUUUGGGCCAGGGGUCCCAAGGCAGCCGCAGGGGCCCGAGCCCAGAGAGCAGGGGCAGCUGGGCCGGCCUAAGGGAACUUAAGUGCCAGGCGGGAAGAGGACUUUGGGCUGGGGAUUGAUGGGGAGCCCAUCCAGAGCAUGCAUGUCAGGGGAGUGAGCACGGGGACCUGGACUGUGCUGAGCAUGGAGUGAGGAAGAUGAGCACAGAGAGACCCCCGGGACUACAUGAGGCCUGGCAGCUGACUGCAUGUGGGGUGAAAAAAGGAGGCCACAGGACAGCAUGCAGGGG